rnacentral:tRNA from 1 species
GCCCGUGUGGCUCAGUCGGUUAAGUGUCUGACUUCGGCUCAGGUCAUGAUCUCACAGCUCGUGGGUUCGAGCCCCGCGUCAGGCU